UGAAGCCAGGCAAACCUUUGAACAUU
rnacentral:piRNA from 1 species